rnacentral:rRNA from 1 species
UACGAAGGGGGCGAGCGUUGUUCGGAAUCACUGGGCGUAAAGGGCGCGUAGGCGGCCCUUCUUGUCGCGUGUGAAAGCCCCGGGCUCAACCUGGGAACGGCGCGCGAGACGGGAGGGCUGGAGUUCGGGAGAGGAGCGUGGAAUUCCCAGUGUAGAGGUGAAAUUCGUAGAUAUUGGGAAGAACACCGGUGGCGAAGGCGGCGCUCUGGACCGAGACUGACGCUGAGGCGCGAAGGCGUGGGGAGCGAACGGG